rnacentral:rRNA from 1 species
AACGAACGCUGGCGGCGCGCCUAAUACAUGCAAGUCGAGCGAGAAGACGUAGCAAUACGUUUGUAAAGCGGCGAACGGGUGAGGAAUACAUGGGUAACCUACCCUCGAGUGGGGAAUAACUAGCCGAAAGGUUAGCUAAUACCGCGUACGCUCCUUGGACUUCGGUUCAGGGAGGAAAGCGAUACCGUGGGUAUCGCGCUCUUGGAUGGGCUCAUGUCCUAUCAGCUUGUUGGUGAGGUAACGGCUCACCAAGGCUUCGACGGGUAGCUGGUCUGAGAGGACGAUCAGCCACACUGGCACUGCGACACGGGCCAGACUCCUACGGGAGGCAGCAGUAAGGAAUAUUGCGCAAUGGGCGAAAGCCUGACGCAGCGACGCCGCGUGGGGGAUGAAGGUCUUCGGAUUGUAAACCCCUUUCGGGAGGGAAGAUGGAAUGGGGUAACCCAUUCGGACGGUACCUCCAGAAGCAGCCACGGCUAACUUCGUGCCAGCA